GCUGUGAGCUCGAUGAGUAGGGCGGGACACGUGGUAUCCUGUCUGAAUAUGGGGGGACCAUCCUCCAAGGCUAAAUACUCCUGACUGACCGAUAGUGAACCAGUACCGUGAGGGAAAGGCGAAAAGAACCCCGGCGAGGGGAGUGAAAAAGAACCUGAAACCGUGUACGUACAAGCAGUGGGAGCACAGAGCAAUCUGUGUGACUGCGUACC
rnacentral:rRNA from 1 species